UUCGGAAAAGAUAACCGCUGAAAGCAUCUAAGCGGGAAACUUGCCUCAAGAUGAGAUCUCACUGGGAACUUGAUUCCCCUGAAGGGCCGUCGAAGACUACGACGUUGAUAGGCUGGGUGUGUAAGCGUUGUGAGGCGUUGAGCUAACCAGUACUAAUUGCCCGUGAGGCUUGACCAUAUAACACCCAAACA
rnacentral:rRNA from 1 species